rnacentral:rRNA from 1 species
GUGGGGAAUAUUGGACAAUGGGGGGAACCCUGAUCCAGCCAUGCCGCGUGUGUGAAGAAGGCCUUUUGGUUGUAAAGCACUUUAAGCGAGGAGGAGGCUACCGAGAUUAAUACUCUUGGAUAGUGGACGUUACUCGCAGAAUAAGCACCGGCUAACUCUGUGCCAGCAGCCGCGGUAAUACAGAGGGUGCAAGCGUUAAUCGGAUUUACUGGGCGUAAAGCGCGCGUAGGUGGCCAAUUAAGUCAAAUGUGAAAUCCCCGAGCUUAACUUGGGAAUUGCAUUCGAGACUGGUUGGCUAGAGUAUGGGAGAGGAUGGUAGAAUUCCAGGUGUAGCGGUGAAAUGCGUAGAGAUCUGGAGGAAUACCGAUGGCGAAGGCAGCCAUCUGGCCUAAUACUGACACUGAGGUGCGAAAGCAUGGGGAGCAAACAGGAUUAGAAACCCGGGUAGUCC